rnacentral:rRNA from 1 species
UAUCUCUGUAGAGUCUGCAUAUCAAUAAGCGGAGGAAAAGAAACUAACUAGGAUUCCCUCAGUAACGGCGAGUGAAGCGGGAAGAGCUCAAAUUUGAAAUCUUCAAGGUUCUACCUUGACGAAUUGUAGUUUAAAGAAGUGUUUUCUGUUGGAGUUUUGGUAAAAGUUCUUUGGAAUAGGACAUCAUAGAGGGUGAGAAUCCCGUAUUUGACCAUUACUUCCAGCGUUGUGAUACACUUUCAAAGAGUCGGAUUGUUUGGGAAUGCAGUCCAAAAUGGGUGGUAAAUUUCAUCUAAAGCUAAAUACUGGCGAGAGACCGAUAGCGAACAAGUACCGUGAGGGAAAGAUGAAAAGAACUUUGAAAAGAGAGUUAAACAGUACGUGAAAUUGUCAAAAGGGAAGCGUUUGACACCAGUGUUGUUUUCUCGAAAAUCAAUUAAAAAAGGCAGGAUUUUGUGUUGUAUUGACUUUAUCAGCUUUCUGCACUCUUUUCUUGUCUUUUUUAAUGCACUUUUCGUUUAACAAGUCAACAUCAAUUUCUUUUGUUGUAAAAGGGUCAUUGGAAGGUGGCUUUCUUUUCGGAGAAAGUGUUUAUAGCCUUUGGCCUCUGCAAUCGGGAGAGAUUGAGGUCUGCAGCGUAGAUCCUUCGGGGCUAGAUACAUUAGAUGCUAAGUUAUAGCUUUUUAUAGACAACUUGUUGACUAUGAUUAAGUCAUGUAGCUUACUCGUUAUGCCUAUUUUACCUACGCUUAGGAUGUUGACGAUCAGCUGAGCGCG